rnacentral:rRNA from 1 species
ACAGAGAACGCGAGCAUCUUUAAGUAAGUGUGGCCAAGUUAAUAAGAGCGCACGGUGGAUGCCUUGGUAUCAGGAGCCGAUGAAGGACGUAGGAGCCUGCGAUAAACCUCGGGGAGUUGGCAACCGAACAUUGAUCCGGGGGUAUCCGAAUGGGGAAACCUAGCUGGGUGAGAACCCAGUUGCUGCCGUCUGAAUACAUAGGACGUCAGAGGGAACGUGGGGAAGUGAAACAUCUCAGUACCCACUGGAAGAGAAAUCAACCGAGAUUCCGUUAGUAGUGGCGAGCGAAAGCGGAAGAGCCUAAACCUCUCGUGUGUAAUAGCCGGUAGGCGUUGCACGAGUGGUGUUGUGGGGCCAAGCGGCCCGAUCUACCGAUCGGGCGAAGAGUAAGAAACUCAUUGCGUAGUCAAAGGUGUUGGAAAACACCGGCAAAGAAGGUAAUACCCCUGUAGACGAAACGCAUUGAACUCUUGUUUGUAGCCCCAAGUAAUACGGAGCUCGAGAAAUUCCGUAUGAAUCUGGCGGGACCACCCGCCAAGGCUAAAUACUCCCUGAUAACCGAUAGCGGACAAGUACCGUGAGGGAAAGGUGAAAAGAACCCCGAGAGGGGAGUGAAAUAGAACCUGAAACCGUGUGCUUACAAGCCGUGGAAGCGUCGUCCACUUCGGUGGGCCGUGACCGCGUGCCUUUUGAAGAAUGAGCCUGCGAGUUAGUGGUAUGUGGCGAGGUUAACCCGCGAGGGGUAGCCGUAGCGAAAGCGAGUCCUAACUGGGCGAAUGAGUCGCAUGCCCUAGACCCGAAGCGAAGUGAUCUACCCAUGGGCAGGGUGAAGCGCCGGUAAGACGGCGUGGAGGCCCGAACCCACCAAUGUUGAAAAAUUGGGGGAUGACCUGUGGGUAGGGGUGAAAGGCUAAUCAAACUUCGUGAUAGCUGGUUCUCCCCGAAAUGCAUUUAGGUGCAGCGUCACGUGUUUCUUGCUGGAGGUAGAGCACUGGAAGGCCUAGGGGCCCUACAAGGUUACUGACGUCUACCAAACUCCGAAUACCAGUAAGUAAAACGUGGCAGUGAGACUGCGGGGGAUAAGCUUCGUAGUCGAAAGGGAAACAGCCCAGAUCACCAACUAAGGCCCCCAAGCAUGUGCUAAGUGGAAAAGGAUGUGAAAUCGCAUUGACAACCAGGAGGUUGGCUUAGAAGCAGCUAUCCUUGAAAGAGUGCGUAAUAGCUCACUGGUCAAGUAAUUUCGCGCCGACAAUUUAACGGGGCUCAAGCACAUCGCCGAAGUUGUGGCAUGAACACAUGUACCUAGCACGCUGUAACAGGUGUGUUCAGGUGUGUCCUUGGGUAGGGGAGCGUCGUAUCGCGAGUGAAGCGGCAGUGAAAACUAGUCGUGGACGCGAUACGAGUGAGAAUGCAGGCAUGAGUAGCGAAUGACGGGUGAAAAACCCGUCCGCCGUAUGACCAAGGGUUCCAGGGUCAAGCUAAUCUGCCCUGGGUAAGUCGGGACCUAAGGCGAGGCCGAGAGGCGUAGUCGAUGGACAACGGGUUGAUAUUCCCGUACCGGCGUUGUUGCGACCGUGCUGAGCCCGGUAAUGCUAAGUAACCGAACCGAGACACCCUUCGGGGUGGCCUUGGGGAGUGUGCGAACCGAACCGGUAGUAGGCAAGCAAAGGGGUGACGCAGUAAGGCAGCCCAACCCGGGCGAUGGUCGACCCGGGGUAAGGACGUAGGCCGAGAUAUAGGCAAAUCCGUAUCUCACUAAGGCCGAGAUCUGAUGCCGAGCCGAUUAAGGCGAAGUGGGUGAUCCUAAGCUGUCAAGAAAAGCCUCUAGCGAGUGACAAAGCCGCCCGUACCCCAAACCGACACAGGUGGUCAGGUAGAGAAUACCGAGGCGAUCGAGAGAACUGUGGUUAAGGAACUCGGCAAAAUGCCCCCGUAACUUCGGGAGAAGGGGGGCCAAAAGCUGUGAGGGGGUUCGCCCCCCAAGCGGAGAUUGGCCGCAGAAACCAGGCUCAAGCGACUGUUUACUAAAAACACAGGUCCGUGCGAAGUUGUAAAACGAUGUAUACGGACUGACGCCUGCCCGGUGCUGGAACGUUAAGGGGACGGAUCAGCGGCUUCGGCUGCGAAGUUCAGAACUUAAGCGCCAGUAAACGGCGGUGGUAACUAUAACCAUCCUAAGGUAGCGAAAUUCCUUGUCGGGUAAGUUCCGACCUGCACGAAUGGCGUAACGACUUGAGCGCUGUCUCAACCAUAGACUCGGCGAAAUUGCACUACGAGUGAAGAUGCUCGUUACGCGUGGCAGGACGGAAAGACCCCGGGACCUUUACUACACCUUGGUAUUGGUGGUCGGUGCGGCUUGUGUAGAAUAGGUGGGAGACUUAGAAGCAUUCACGCCAGUGAGUGUGGAGUCGUCGGUGAAAUACCACUCUUGUCGAAUUGGCUGUCUAACCUCGAUCCAUUAUCUGGAUCAGGGACAGUGCCUGGCGGGUAGUUUAACUGGGGCGGUUGCCUCCCAAAAAGUAACGGAGGCGCUCAAAGGUUCCCUCAGCCUGGUCGGCAAUCAGGUGUUGAGUGCAAGUGCACAAGGGAGCUUGACUGCGAGACAGACAUGUCAAGCAGGGACGAAAGUCGGAACUAGUGAUCCGGCACCGGCAAGUGGAAGCGGUGUCGCUCAACGGAUAAAAGGUACCCCGGGGAUAACAGGCUGAUCUUGCCCAAGAGUCCAUAUCGACGGCAUGGUUUGGCACCUCGAUGUCGGCUCGUCGCAUCCUGGGGCUGGAGUCGGUCCCAAGGGUUGGGCUGUUCGCCCAUUAAAGCGGUACGCGAGCUGGGUUUAGAACGUCGUGAGACAGUUCGGUCCCUAUCCGCCACGCGCGCAGGAGUCUUGAGAGUACCUGUCCCUAGUACGAGAGGACCGGGACGGACGAACCUCUGGUGUGCCAGUUGUUCCGCCAGGAGCAUGGCUGGUUGGCUACGUUCGGACGAGAUAACCGCUGAAAGCAUCUAAGCGGGAAGCUCAACUCGAGAUGAGGACUCCCACAAGUCAUUUGGUAAGGCCCCCAGCAGAUUACUGGGUUGAUAGGCCGGAGGUGGAAGCACAGCGAUGUGUGAAGCUGACCGGUACUAAUAGGCCGAGGACUUGGCUCCAUUUACU